UUGUGGAUUACUUGAGGAUUGUGUAUUUGGUGUAAUUACUUAAAAAGAAAAAAUUAUGUAUAAACUUAGGGCUUCCCUUAUUUUCAAGCUUGAUUGAAUAAUUAGUGACAACCAGAAGCCCAGCGUUUUCUUGUAGCAAACUCUCUCUACCCUGAUAGCGGGUCUGCUGUUCUAAUUCAGAGUCCAGGGCGGAAGAAUAGGUGACCUCACGGAGUUAAAAGAAAGGAGAGGAAAAGAAAGAGGGCAUUUGGAGAUCAGAAUUUUGGGGUCGGAGAGCUAGCUUCAAGCUCCUUUCAAAAAGGUAGAAGUGGAUUUCAUAGGGUUUGGGAAGACUUUGGCAAUCGUUGCAAAAAGUCAGUGUUUGUAUUGGUGAUUUGGAUUUUUUUUGCAAUAAAGUUAAGACUAGUACUUUGAUUGUUUUGAGAA
rnacentral:lncRNA from 1 species